rnacentral:rRNA from 1 species
AACGAACGCUGGCGGCAGGCUUAACACAUGCAAGUCGAACGCCCCGCAAGGGGAGUGGCAGACGGGUGAGUAACGCGUGGGAAUCUACCCAUCUCUACGGAAUAACUCAGGGAAACUUGUGCUAAUACCGUAUACGCCCUUCGGGGGAAAGAUUUAUCGGAGAUGGAUGAGCCCGCGUUGGAUUAGCUCGUUGGUGGGGUGAAGGCCUACCAAGGCGACGAUCCAUAGCUGGGCUGAGAGGAUGAUCAGCCACAUUGGGACUGAGACACGGCCAUAACUCCUACGGGAGGCAGCAGUGGGGAAUAUUGGACAAUGGGCGCAAGCCUGAUCCAGCCAUGCCGCGUGAGUGAUGAAGGCCCUAGGGUUGUAAAGCUCUUUCACCGAUGAAGAUAAUGACUGUAGUCGGAGAAGAAGCCCCGGCUAACUUCGUGCCAGCAGCCGCAGUAG